rnacentral:rRNA from 1 species
AUUGAACGCUGGCGGCAUGCCUUACACAUGCAAGUCGAACGGUAACAGGUUAAGCCGACGAGUGGCGAACGGGUGAGUAAUGUAUCGGAACGUGCCCAGUCGUGGGGGAUAACUACUCGAAAGAGUGGCUAAUACCGCAUACGACCUGAGGGUGAAAGCGGGGGACCGUAAGGCCUCGCGCGAUUGGAGCGGCCGAUACCAGAUUAGCUAGCUGGUGGGGUAAAAGCCCACCAGGGCGACGAUCUGUAGCUGGUCUGAGAGGACGACCAGCCACACUGGGACUGAGACACGGCCCAGACUCCUACGGGAGGCAGCAGUGGGGAAUUUUGGACAAUGGGCGCAAGCCUGAUCCAGCAAUGCCGCGUGCAGGAUGAAGGCCUUCGGGUUGUAAACUGCUUUUGUACGGAGCGAAAAGCCCUGGGUUAAUACCCUGGGGUCAGGACGGUACCGUAAGAAUAAGCACCGGCUAACUACGUGCCAGCAGCCGCCGCGGUAA